rnacentral:rRNA from 1 species
GUCCACGCCGUAAACGAUGAUAACUAGCUGUCAGGGCUCUUAGAGCUUUGGUGGCGCAGCUAACGCGUUAAGUUAUCCGCCUGGGGAGUACGGCCGCAAGGUUAAAACUCAAAGAAAUUGACGGGGGCCUGCACAAGCGGUGGAGCAUGUGGUUUAAUUCGAAGCAACGCGCAGAACCUUACCAGCGUUUGACAUGGUAGGACGGUUACCAGAGAUGGUUUCCUUCCCUUACGGGACCUACACACAGGUGCUGCAUGGCUGUCGU